rnacentral:rRNA from 1 species
UGGGGAGCGAAAUUAAGUAGCGAAGUUCCUGAUGUUACACUGCCAAGAAAAGCUUCUAGUGAGAAAUAAACUACCCGUACCGUAAACCGACACAGGUGGUCGAGGAGAAUAUCCUAAGGUGAGCGAGUGAGCUCUCGUUAAGGAACUCGGCAAAAUGACCCCGUAACUUCGGGAGAAGGGGUGCUGACCGUCAGGUCAGCCGCAGCGAAUAGGCCCAAACAACUGUUUAUCAAAAACACAGGUCUCUGCAAAAUCGAAAGAUGACGUAUAGGGGCUGACGCCUGCCCGGUGCUGGAAGGUUAAGAGGAUGAGUUGGCGUAAGCGAAGCCCAGAAUUGAAGCCCCAGUAAACGGCGGCCGUAACAAUAACGGUCCUAAGGCAGCGAAAUUCCUUGUCGGGUAAGUUCCGACCCGCACGAAAGGCGUAAUGAUUUGGGCACUGUCUCAACGAGAGACUCGGUGAAAUUAUAAUACCCGUGAAGAUGCGGGUUACCCGCGACAGGACGGAAAGACCCCAUGGAGCUUUACUGUAGCUUGAUAUUGAGUGUUUGUACAGUUUGUACAGGAUAGGUAGGAGCCGUAGAAAUCGGAACGCUAGUUUCGAUGGAGGCGUUGGUGGGAUACUACCCUAACUGUAUGACCACUCUAACCCGCGCCACUUAGCGUGGCGGGAGACAGUGUCAGGUGGGCAGUUUGACUGGGGCGGUCGCCUCCUAAAGUGUAACGGAGGCGCUCAAAGGUUCUCUCAGAAUGGUUGGGAAUCAUUCGUAGAGUGUAAAGGUAUAAGAGAGCUUGACUGUGAGAUUGACAAAUCGAGCAGGGACGAAAGUCGGACUUAGUGAUCCGGUGGUUCCGUAUGGAAGGGCCAUCGCUCAACGGAUAAAAGCUACCCUGGGGAUAACAGGCUUAUCUCCCCCAAGAGUCCACAUCGACGGGGAGGUUUGGCACCUCGAUGUCGGCUCAUCGCAUCCUGGGGCUGUAGUCGGUCCCAAGGGUUGGGCUGUUCGCCCAUUAAAGCGGUACGCGAGCUGGGUUCAGAACGUCGUGAGACAGUUCGGUCCCUAUCCGUCGCGGGCGCAGGAAAUUUGAGAGGAGCUGUCCUUAGUACGAGAGGACCGGGAUGGACAUACCUCUGGUGUACCAGUUGUGCCGCCAGGCGCAUCGCUGGGUAGCUAUGUAUGGACGGGAUAAACGCUGAAAGCAUCUAAGUGUGAAGCCCCCCUCGAGAUGAGAUUUCCCAUC